GAACUACUUCUGAACUACUGAACAACUUCUGGGUUUGCACUUCAUAAGAAAAAUAUCUCACACUUUGUGAUUAUCAAAGGAUACAACUGUGAACUGCAUCAGAAGUCCAAGGAAAAAUGUUGAAGUUUAAUAAGAGCUGGAAAAUCUAACCAA